GACGAACGCUGGCGGCGUGCCUAAUACAUGCAAGUUGAGCGAUGAAGAUUGGUGCUUGCACCAAUUUGAAGAGCAGCGAACGGGUGAGUAACGCGUGGGGAAUCUGCCUUUGAGCGGGGGACAACAUUUGGAAACGAAUGCUAAUACCGCAUAACACCUUUAAACAUAAGUUUUAAGUUUGAAAGAUGCAAUUGCAUCACUCAAAGAUGAUCCCGCGUUGUAUUAGCUAGUUGGUGAGGUAAAGGCUCACCAAGGCGAUGAUACAUAGCCGACCUGAGAGGGUGAUCGGCCACAUUGGGACUGAGACACGGCCCAAACUCCUACGGGAGGCAGCAGUAGGGAAUCUUCGGCAAUGGACGAAAGUCUGACCGAGCAACGCCGCGUGAGUGAAGAAGGGUUUCGGAUCGUAAAACUCUGUUGGUAGAGAAGAACGUUGGUGAGAGUGGAAAGCUCAUCAAGUGACGGUAACUACCCAGAAAGGGACGGCUAACUACGUG
rnacentral:rRNA from 1 species